GCACCACAAGGGGUGAAGCUUGCGGUUUAAUUGGAGUCAACUCCGGGACCCUUACCAAGGGCGACAGCUGGAUGAAGGUCAGAUUAAAGGUCUUACCGGACUAGCUGAGAGGAGGUGCAUGGUCGUCGCCAGUUCGUGCCGUGAGGUGUUCUCUUAAGUGAGACAACGAACGAGACCCGCGCCUCUAGUUGCUACCGGUUUCCUUCGGGAUUCCGGGCACACUAAAGGGACUGCCCUCGCUAAGAGGGAGGAAGGAGCGGGCCACGGCAGGUCAGUAUGCCCCGGAUCCCUUGGGCCACACGCGAGCUGCAAUGGAUGGGACAAUGGGCUCCGACCCCGAAAGGGGAAGGCAAUCUUCAAACCCAUCCUCAGUUGGGAUCGAGGGCUGCAACCCGCCCUCGUGAACAUGGAAUCCCUAGUAACCGCGUGUCAUCAUCGCGCGGUGAAUACGUCCCUGCUCCUUGCACACACCGCCCGUCGCUCCAUCCGAGUCUGGCUCUGGUGAGGCGUGGCCUAAUUGGUCAUGUCGAGCCUAGGUUAGACAAGGAGGGAG
rnacentral:rRNA from 1 species